rnacentral:lncRNA from 1 species
UUUCAUUCUGAAUUUCUUAGUCCCACCAAGAUCCUUUAGUUUCAAAAACAACUACCUAGUGAUGAUUAAUGACUGCAAGUAACAAUAACCAAAAACAAGCAAACAAAAAUGUUCUUCAAUAACUAUGUAACUCCCAAGUAUAUGACUUGACCCUUAAUUCUUUAUAAAGUAAUAAGGAACCAAGGUAACUAACCCACUUUCUGUGAUUAUACUGACUGACUGGUGUUACAAAUAGGCUUCUUCUACUUUCUCAAGAAGGGGGAGAUUUUAAAGUUGCACUAAUAAUUUGGAUUUUAAAAUACAGUAAUUUGAGACAUAUGUUAUGAGAAUUGAGUCUCUGUCUUCCUGAAUUCGCUGGAUAACUUUCACCUACCUGUUUAAUACAACCUUGCAUUAAAAGUAAGGGGCCCUGGAUAUCUUAUCUGCUCCUUU